rnacentral:rRNA from 1 species
UACGUAGGCAGCAAGCGUUGUUCGGAGUUACUGGGCGUAAAGGGUGUGUAGGCGGUUCUUUUAAGUUUGCUGUGAAAUCUCCCGGCUUAACCGGGAGGGUGCGGUGAAUACUGAGGGACUAGAGUACGGGAGAGGAAAGUGGGAAUUCCUGGUGUAGCGGUGAAAUGCGUAGAUAUCAGGAGGAACACCGGUGGUGUAGACGGCUUUCUGGACCGACACUGACGCUGAGACACGAAAGCGUGGGUAGCAAACAGG